rnacentral:rRNA from 1 species
UACGUAGGGUGCAAGCGUUGUCCGGAAUCAUUGGGCGUAAAGCGCGCGUAGGUGGCUUCGUAAGUCCGUUGUGAAAGUCAAAGGCUCAACCUUUGAAAGCCGAUGGAUACUGCGGAGCUAGAGUACGGAAGAGGCGAGUGGAAUUCCUGGUGUAGCGGUGGAAUGCGCAGAUAUCAGGAGGAACACCAAUAGCGAAGGCAGCUCGCUGGGACGUUACUGACACUAAGGCGCGAAAGCGUGGGGAGCGAACAGG